UACGGCCAUAUCAUCCCGAAACACCAGUUCCCGUACGAUCACUGAGGUUAAGUUAAAUCGAGCCUGGUCAUUAACUAGAUGAGUGACCGCUUAGGAAUAUCAGGUGCUGUAA